rnacentral:rRNA from 1 species
CGCGGCCUAUCAGCUUGUUGGUGGGGUAAUGGCCUACCAAGGCUUCGACGGGUAGCCGGCCUGAGAGGGCGACCGGCCACACUGGGACUGAGACACGGCCCAGACUCCUACGGGAGGCAGCAGUGGGGAAUAUUGCACAAUGGGCGGAAGCCUGAUGCAGCGACGCCGCGUGAGGGAUGACGGCCUUCGGGUUGUAAACCUCUUUCGACAGGGACGAAGCGCAAGUGACGGUACCUGGAGAAGAAGCACCGGCCAACUACGUGCCAGCAGCCGCGGUAAGACGUAGGGUGGGAGCGUUGUCCGGAUUUAUUGGGCGUAAAGAGCUCGUAGGCGGCUCGUCGCGUCGACCGUGAAAACCCACAGCUUAACUGUGGGCUUGCGGUUGAUACGGGCGGGCUAGAGUUCGGUAGGGGAGACUGGAAUUCCUGGUGUAGCGGUGAAAUGCGCAGAUAUCAGGAGGAACACCGGUGGCGAAGGCGGGUCUCUGGGCCGAUACUGACGCUGAGGAGCGAAAGCGUGGGGAGCGAACAGGAUUAGAUACCCUGGUAGUCCACGCUGUAAACGUUGGGCGCUAGGUGUGGGGGGCCUCUCCGGUUCUCUGUGCCGCAGCUAACGCAUUAAGCGCCCCGCCUGGGGAGUACGG